rnacentral:rRNA from 1 species
UACGGAGGGUGCGAGCGUUAUCCGGAUUUACUGGGCUUAAAGGGUGCGUAGGCGGGCCUUUAAGUCAGUGGUGAAAGCUCCGAGCUUAACUCGGAAACUGCCAUUGAUACGAUUGGUCUUGAAUUCGGUCGAGGUUGGCGGAAUGUGUCGUGUAGCGGUGAAAUGCUUAGAUAUGACACAGAACACCGAUUGCGAAGGCAGCUAGCUAGACCGACAUUGACGCUGAGGCACGAAAGCGUGGGGAUCAAACAGG